rnacentral:rRNA from 1 species
UACGUAGGGUGCGAGCGUUGUCCGGAAUUAUUGGGCGUAAAGGGCUCGUAGGCGGUUUGUCGCGUCGGGAGUGAAAUCCACUGGCUUAACUGGUGGCUUGCUUUCGAUACGGGCAGACUGGAGGUAUGCAGGGGAGAACGGAAUUCCUGGUGUAGCGGUGAAAUGCGCAGAUAUCAGGAGGAACACCGGUGGCGAAGGCGGCUCACUGGCCCGGAACUGACGCUGAGGCACGAAAGCGUGGGGAGCAAGCAGG